CUCCCAAACUUUUUGUGGCAGUGUCAGUUAUUGUAAUGCAUUUAUGUUGCCAAGUUCCACAUUCUAAAAAGAGCAAUUGACGGCUCAAAAUAUUGCAAACAGAUUCUGUAAAAGUAAAACAGAAAAGUUUAUAAAAAAGUAAGAGAAAUGAUAGAGGAGGCCCAGGAAGGGCUGGGAGGCCCAACCCACCGCCAGGUCGUCCCCUUCCUCUGUUCAUCGGGCGCUCGUGGAUAUCGGACGGCCGUACACGGCGCCGAUGGCCAUGGGGCGGCCAUCCACGCCCCCUGGCGCCCUACAAGGUCGCGGUCGACCUCUCUGGCCAAACCCUAGCUCCCAAAUCCCCUUUCCCCUCUCGGUUUCGUCCUCCCCUUGCAGACCCGAGAGCUCCAUGGCCGCGUCGCUGUCGAACCCGUGGCCACCGAGGCCCAUUCGCCGCUCCACCGUCUUCUGGAGUUCCGCCGCGUCCGUUUACGUCGACUACGUCCCUGGAUCGACGAGGAGGACCACCAGCAUCGUCGCCAAUUUCGUCUUCUUCCUUGGAUCACCGUCGCCCUUCGUCGUCGAUCCGGCCGAAUCCCUGCGCUCCUAAGCUCCCGCCGGCCGUCGUGUGCCUCAACAUGACGGAGUCCAGGAGCCAGAUGUCACCAUCGACGUUUACUACUACACCGAGGGUGCCUACUACUACGUGACGGCCGCUGACGACCCGGAGUAGUUAGGAGGCUCCCAGGCAGGAGGCCUUGCCUUUUAGAUCGAUGUUGCUUUUGUGCUAGUCUUCUUAAGUCGAACUUAUUUAACUCAUGUCUCUACUCAGAUAUUGUUGCUUCCGCUGACUCUUAUGUAUGCGAGCUUAUGUAUUCGAGUCCUCGAGGACCCUGGCUUGUAAUAUAAAGCUUGUAUUAUUUUAAUUUGUGUCUA